rnacentral:rRNA from 1 species
GGGUUGUGAGGUUAAGCGACUAAGCGUACACGGUGGAUGCCCUGGCAGUCAGAGGCGAUGAAGGACGUGCUAAUCUGCGAUAAGCGUCGGUAAGGUGAUAUGAACCGUUAUAACCGGCGAUUUCCGAAUGGGGAAACCCAGUGUGUUUCGACACACUAUCAUUAACUGAAUCCAUAGGUUAAUGAGGCGAACCGGGGGAACUGAAACAUCUAAGUACCCCGAGGAAAAGAAAUCAACCGAGAUUCCCCCAGUAGCGGCGAGCGAACGGGGAGCAGCCCAGAGCCUGAAUCAGUGUGUGUGUUAGUGGAAGCGUCUGGAAAGGCGCGCGAUACAGGGUGACAGCCCCGUACACAAAAAUGCACAUGCUGUGAGCUCGAUGAGUAGGGCGGGACACGUGGUAUCCUGUCUGAAUAUGGGGGGACCAUCCUCCAAGGCUAAAUACUCCUGACUGACCGAUAGUGAACCAGUACCGUGAGGGAAAGGCGAAAAGAACCCCGGCGAGGGGAGUGAAAAAGAACCUGAAACCGUGUACGUACAAGCAGUGGGAGCACAGAGCAAUCUGUGUGACUGCGUACCUUUUGUAUAAUGGGUCAGCGACUUAUAUUCUGUAGCAAGGUUAACCGAAUAGGGGAGCCGAAGGGAAACCGAGUCUUAACUGGGCGUUAAGUUGCAGGGUAUAGACCCGAAACCCGGUGAUCUAGCCAUGGGCAGGUUGAAGGUUGGGUAACACUAACUGGAGGACCGAACCGACUAAUGUUGAAAAAUUAGCGGAUGACUUGUGGCUGGGGGUGAAAGGCCAAUCAAACCGGGAGAUAGCUGGUUCUCCCCGAAAGCUAUUUAGGUAGCGCCUCGUGAAUUCAUCUCCGGGGGUAGAGCACUGUUUCGGCAAGGGGGUCAUCCCGACUUACCAACCCGAUGCAAACUGCGAAUACCGGAGAAUGUUAUCACGGGAGACACACGGCGGGUGCUAACGUCCGUCGUGAAGAGGGAAACAACCCAGACCGCCAGCUAAGGUCCCAAAGUCAUGGUUAAGUGGGAAACGAUGUGGGAAGGCCCAGACAGCCAGGAUGUUGGCUUAGAAGCAGCCAUCAUUUAAAGAAAGCGUAAUAGCUCACUGGUCGAGUCGGCCUGCGCGGAAGAUGUAACGGGGCUAAACCAUGCACCGAAGCUGCGGCAGCGACGCUGAUGCGUUGUUGGGUAGGGGAGCGUUCUGUAAGCCUGUGAAGGUGUGCUGUGAGGCAUGCUGGAGGUAUCAGAAGUGCGAAUGCUGACAUAAGUAACGAUAAAGCGGGUGAAAAGCCCGCUCGCCGGAAGACCAAGGGUUCCUGUCCAACGUUAAUCGGGGCAGGGUGAGUCGACCCCUAAGGCGAGGCCGAAAGGCGUAGUCGAUGGGAAACAGGUUAAUAUUCCUGUACUUGGUGUUACUGCGAAGGGGGGACGGAGAAGGCUAUGUUGGCCGGGCGACGGUUGUCCCGGUUUAAGCGUGUAGGCUGGUUUUCCAGGCAAAUCCGGAAAAUCAAGGCUGAGGCGUGAUGACGAGGCACUACGGUGCUGAAGCAACAAAUGCCCUGCUUCCAGGAAAAGCCUCUAAGCAUCAGGUAACAUCAAAUCGUACCCCAAACCGACACAGGUGGUCAGGUAGAGAAUACCAAGGCGCUUGAGAGAACUCGGGUGAAGGAACUAGGCAAAAUGGUGCCGUAACUUCGGGAGAAGGCACGCUGAUAUGUAGGUGAAGUCCCUCGCGGAUGGAGCUGAAAUCAGUCGAAGAUACCAGCUGGCUGCAACUGUUUAUUAAAAACACAGCACUGUGCAAACACGAAAGUGGACGUAUACGGUGUGACGCCUGCCCGGUGCCGGAAGGUUAAUUGAUGGGGUUAGCGCAAGCGAAGCUCUUGAUCGAAGCCCCGGUAAACGGCGGCCGUAACUAUAACGGUCCUAAGGUAGCGAAAUUCCUUGUCGGGUAAGUUCCGACCUGCACGAAUGGCGUAAUGAUGGCCAGGCUGUCUCCACCCGAGACUCAGUGAAAUUGAACUCGCUGUGAAGAUGCAGUGUACCCGCGGCAAGACGGAAAGACCCCGUGAACCUUUACUAUAGCUUGACACUGAACAUUGAGCCUUGAUGUGUAGGAUAGGUGGGAGGCUUUGAAGUGUGGACGCCAGUCUGCAUGGAGCCGACCUUGAAAUACCACCCUUUAAUGUUUGAUGUUCUAACGUUGACCCGUGAUCCGGGUUGCGGACAGUGUCUGGUGGGUAGUUUGACUGGGGCGGUCUCCUCCUAAAGAGUAACGGAGGAGCACGAAGGUUGGCUAAUCCUGGUCGGACAUCAGGAGGUUAGUGCAAUGGCAUAAGCCAGCUUGACUGCGAGCGUGACGGCGCGAGCAGGUGCGAAAGCAGGUCAUAGUGAUCCGGUGGUUCUGAAUGGAAGGGCCAUCGCUCAACGGAUAAAAGGUACUCCGGGGAUAACAGGCUGAUACCGCCCAAGAGUUCAUAUCGACGGCGGUGUUUGGCACCUCGAUGUCGGCUCAUCACAUCCUGGGGCUGAAGUAGGUCCCAAGGGUAUGGCUGUUCGCCAUUUAAAGUGGUACGCGAGCUGGGUUUAGAACGUCGUGAGACAGUUCGGUCCCUAUCUGCCGUGGGCGCUGGAGAACUGAGGGGGGCUGCUCCUAGUACGAGAGGACCGGAGUGGACGCAUCACUGGUGUUCGGGUUGUCAUGCCAAUGGCACUGCCCGGUAGCUAAAUGCGGAAGAGAUAAGUGCUGAAAGCAUCUAAGCACGAAACUUGCCCCGAGAUGAGUUCUCCCUGACUCCUUGAGAGUCCUGAAGGAACGUUGAAGACGACGACGUUGAUAGGCCGGGUGUGUAAGCGCAGCGAUGCGUUGAGCUAACCGGUACUAAUGAACCGUGAGGCUUAACCUUACAACGCCGAAG